rnacentral:rRNA from 1 species
GACGAACGCUGGCGGCGUGCCUAACACAUGCAAGUCGAACGGAAAGGCCCUGCUCUUGUGUGUCGCUCGAGUGGCGCACGGGUGUGUAUCACGCGAGUAAACUGCCCCUGACUUUGGGAUAACUUCAGGAAACUGCGGCUCAUAUCGGAUAGGAGCUCUUGCUGCACGGUGGUGGAUGGAAAGUUUCGGCUGUUUUGGCUGGACUCGCGGGUUAUCAGCUUCUUGGUGGGGUAGUGGCUUACCAAGCCUUUGACGGAUAGCCGGCCUGAGAGGUUGACCGGCCACAAGACGACUGAGAGACGGACCAGUCGCCAACGGUAGGCAGCGGUGGAGAGUAUUACGCAAUGAGCGGAAGCGUGAGACAGCGACCCCGCGUGCGGAAUGACGUCCUUCUAGUUAAAAACCGCUGUCGCCUGAGACGAAGCGUUAGUGACGGUAAUUGGUAAAGAAGCACCGGCUAACUACGUG